GAUGAACGCUGGCGGCGUGCCUAAUACAUGCAAGUCGAGCGAACGGACGAGAAGCUUGCUUCUCUGAUGUUAGCGGCGGACGGGUGAGUAACACGUGGAUAACCUACCUAUAAGACUGGGAUAACUUCGGGAAACCGUAUCUAAUACCGGAUAAUAUUUUGAACCGCAUGGUUCAAAAGUGAAAGACGGUCUUGCUGUCACUUAUAGAUUGAUCCGCGCUGCAUUAGCUAGUUGGUAAGGUAACGGCUUACCAAGGCAACGAUGCAUAGCCGACCUGAGAGGGUGAUCGGCCACACUGGAACUGAGACACGGUCCAGACUCCUACGGGAGGCAGCAGUAGGGAAUCUUACGCAAUGGGCGAAAGCCUGACGGAGCAACGCCGCGUGAGUGAUGAAGGUCUUCGGCUCGUAAAACUCUGUUAUUAGGGAAGAACAUAUGUGUAAGUAACUGUGCACAUCUUGACGGUACCUAAUCAGAAAGCCACGGCUAACUCCGUG
rnacentral:rRNA from 1 species